rfam:Glycine max cultivar Williams 82 chromosome 9, whole genome shotgun sequence.
AGGCUAAUAGCUCAAUUGGUUAGAGCAUCAUGCUAAUAAUGUGAAAGUUACAGGUUUGACUCGUGCUUAGACCG